UGCGGUGAUUCAGGUUAGUCAUGGGUGAUAAGAUCGCCAUCUUCAAACAUCUGAAGGACUGUCGUAUAUGAGAGGGAUUGGAUUUCUUUGGUUUGGCUCCAGAGAAUGGAACUGAGAGCAAUGGAAUGGAAGUUGUGAAAGGCAAAUUUCAUCUCAAUACAAGUAACUGAAGAAAGACUGAAAAAAGACCCAGAUCUCCUGACUCCAUGCUGCUUCUUGAAAAAGGAGUGAUCUGUAAAGGAUUUAUUGCAAUAGCCCAUGUCUUGGGAAACACUUCAUCUAUAAAUGCUACUGGGAUAAUCUGGUUUAGCUGGGUCAAAUGACAAGCUUUCUGCAGAAUCGUUUUCUCCUCUGCUGCUUUCGAGUGUUUCCAACAAGCAAAAUCCACAAUAAUUUUAAAGAGAAGAUUCCAACUCUGACUUUCCCUGUCAUCUUGGCUCAAGACUGGCAUGGGAGUGGAAAAAUGAAAACUAUCCUGAACAGGGAAUAGCAUUCUGGACUUGGAUUAAGGAAGAUCUGGGCUCUGAUCUGAGCCCAGACAUUUACUGAACUACCUGUAUGACCUUGGGCAAGUUACUUAACCUCCCUGAUCUA